rnacentral:rRNA from 1 species
CCUACGGGGGGGCUGCAGUGGGGAAUAUUGGACAAUGGGCGAAAGCCUGAUCCAGCCAUGCCGCGUGUGUGAAGAAGGCCUUCGGGUUGUAAAGCACUUUCAGUGGGGAAGAAAGCCUUGGGGCUAAUACCCUCGAGGAAGGACAUCACCCACAGAAGAAGCUCCGGCUAACUCCGUGCCAGCAGCCGCGGUAAUACGGAGGGUGCGAGCGUUAAUCGGAAUUACUGGGCGUAAAGCGCGCGUAGGCGGUCUGAUAAGCCGGUUGUGAAAGCCCCGGGCUCAACCUGGGAACGGCAUCCGGAACUGUCAGGCUAGAGUGCAGGAGAGGAAGGUAGAAUUCCCGGUGUAGCGGUGAAAUGCGUAGAGAUCGGGAGGAAUACCAGUGGCGAAGGCGGCCUUCUGGACUGACACUGACGCUGAGGUGCGAAAGCGUGGGUAGCAAACAGGAUUAGAUACCCGGGUAGUC